CUGAAGCUCUUUGUCUGUUUUCAGUGACCAGCAAAGCCCUGGGAGAAAUUAAGGAAAAGUGAGAAGUAGCUUCCUGGUCAUGAAACAGGAACUAUAUAUGCCUCUCUGAAAAGAGAACCUUACUGGUAAACCACUAGUCUUGAAGCCAUACAUAGAUGAAUAGAAAUAGGUUAAUUUAAGAUGUAAGAGUUAGUUAAUAAGAAGCCUGAGCAAAUAGCCUAAACAGUGUUUUAAUUAAUAUAGUUUCUAUGUGGCCAGGCAGCCAAGAAACCAAUGAGCAGCCUCUGCCUACAGUUCUUCAACUAUCUACUCUUAGCUGCUGGGACACCAGCUGGACUCCAGGGCAAGAACUUAGGAAGGUGCAGAAGACAGAACUGAAUUCUGGGAGGAAGAAAGCAGAGUCGGGGAGAUGUCAUGGACCUGCCACCAACGAUAGACAUGCUGAGACUUUGCUGGGUGAAAUUAGCCAAGCAGGCAGGACGAACAAGCAGCGGGCCCUCCUCCAACAUAUCUCCAUUGUUUUCUACUAAUUUUCUCCUUUGUUUCUCUAUGUUAACUAGGUUUAUGAUGUCUAAGUUUCCCCCAGAGCAUAGAGAAGCAUUUGAGAUUUGUUCAUAUCUCUGAUGGAUAUACUAGAAAAGACCCAACAGUUUUCAAAGCAAAAAUGUAUUUUUAAACUAAAUAUAUAGUUUGUGUUUUCAGGCAGAAAACUUUCUUUUUUGUUAGUCUUUUUUUUUAAUAUCCUGCAAUUCUACUAGACUGAUUGGACACUGGUAAUCCCAAAUAGAUUUUAAGUCAUCAUGUUGUAGAAAUAGAGUGACCCAUGGACGUUUUCACUCAUUCACACCAUCUCCUGUAACCAUGUCAGCCCAGUUCACACCAUCUCCUGCAACUGUACUAGCACAGACACAACCAUACAUGUUAACUCAUAAUCUUGCGGGGUUUGUGUUAAAUGGCAGGACUGGGGAAUUAGACCACAUGGAGUAAAAAGCUGAGAAUAUGUACUAUUUGUCCCAUUAUAGAAAGAGA